rnacentral:rRNA from 1 species
AGGGCGUACGGUGGAUGCCUUGGCACUAGGAGCCGAUGAAGGACGCGACGAACAGCGAUAUGCUUCGGGGAGCAGUAAGUAUGCUUUGAUCCGAAGAUUUCCGAAUGGGGGAACCCACCAUCUGUAAUGGGAUGGGACAUGUUACAUGAAUACAUAGUGUAGCGUGAGGCAGACCCGGGGAACUGAAACAUCUAAGUACCCGGAGGAAGAGAAAGCAAAUGCGAUUCCCUGAGUAGCGGCGAGCGAAACGGGAACAGCCCAAACCGAAGAGCAUGCUCUUCGGGGUUGUAGGACACUCUAUACGGAGUCAAAAAGGAAGACAGUAGGUGAAGGACCUGGAAAGGUCGGCCGAAGAAGGUGACAGCCCUGUAGCUGAAACUGUUUUCCCUCCAGAGUGGAUCCUGAGUACGGCGGGACACGUGAAACCCCGUCGGAAUCCGGGAGGACCAUCUCCCAAGGCUAAAUACUCCCUAGUGACCGAUAGUGAACCAGUACCGUGAGGGAAAGGUGAAAAGCACCCCGGAAGGGGAGUGAAAUAGAUCCUGAAACCGUAUGCCUACAAGUAGUCAGAGCCCGUUAACGGGUGAUGGCGUGCCUUUUGUAGAAUGAACCGGCGAGUUACGAUAACGCGCGAGGUUAAGCCGAUGAGGCGGAGCCGUAGCGAAAGCGAGUCUGAACAGGGCGUUCAGUGCGUUGUCGUAGACCCGAAACCAGGUGAUCUACCCAUGUCCAGGAUGAAGGUCAGGUAACACUGACUGGAGGUCCGAACCCACGCACGUUGAAAAGUGCGGGGAUGAGGUGUGGGUAGCGGUGAAAUGCCAAUCGAACCUGGAGAUAGCUGGUUCUCCCCGAAAUAGCUUUAGGGCUAGCCUCGAGGUUGAGAGUUCUGGAGGUAGAGCACUGAUUGGACUAGGGGCCCCCACAGGGUUACCGAAUUCAGUUAAACUCCGAAUGCCAGCAACUUAUACUCGGGAGUCAGACUGCGAGUGAUAAGAUCCGUAGUCAAGAGGGAAACAGCCCAGACCGCCAGCUAAGGUCCCAAAGUGUAUGUUAAGUGGAAAAGGAUGUGGCGCUGCCUAGACAGCUAGGAUGUUGGCUUAGAAGCAGCCACCAUUCAAAGAGUGCGUAAUAGCUCACUAGUCGAGUGGCGCCGCGCCGAAAAUGUAACGGGGCUAAACAUACCACCGAAGCUGCGGAUUCCGUAAGGAAUGGUAGGGGAGCGUUCCAAACCGCUGUGAAGCUGUACCGGAAGGAGCAGUGGAGCGUUUGGAAGUGAGAAUGCCGGUGUGAGUAGCGAAAAGAGGGGUGAGAAUCCCCUCCGUCGAAAGCCCAAGGUUUCCUGAGGAAGGCUCGUCCGCUCAGGGUUAGUCUGGACCUAAGCCGAGGCCGAAAGGCGUAGGCGAUGGAUAACAGGUUGAUAUUCCUGUACCGCCGAUCCACCGUUUGAACAAUGGGGGGACGCAGGAGGAUAGUGACGCAUGCGGAUGGAAGUGCAUGUGCAAGUUUCAAGACCGUCUGAUUGGCAAAUCCGUCAGGCACCAAAGUCAAGGAACGAUGCGGAGUCCCGUAGGGACGUAGGUCACGAUUUCACACUGCCAAGAAAAGCCUCUAGUGAGGGGGAAGGCGCCAGUACCGUAAACCGACACAGGUAGGCGAGAUGAGAAUUCUAAGACGCGCGGGAUAACUCUCGUUAAGGAACUCGGCAAAAUGGUCCCGUAACUUCGGGAGAAGGGACGCUCUACAUGAGUAGAGCCGCAGUGAAUAGGCCCAAACGACUGUUUAGCAAAAACACAGGUCUCUGCUAAAUCGCAAGAUGACGUAUAGGGGCUGACGCCUGCCCGGUGCUGGAAGGUUAAGGGGAUGGGUUAGCGCAAGCGAAGCUUUGAACCGAAGCCCCAGUAAACGGCGGCCGUAACUAUAACGGUCCUAAGGUAGCGAAAUUCCUUGUCGGGUAAGUUCCGACCCGCACGAAAGGCGUAACGAUUUGGGCACUGUCUCAACGAGAGACCCGGUGAAAUCAUAGUACCUGUGAAGAUGCAGGUUACCCGCGACAGGACGGAAAGACCCCAUGGAGCUUUACUACAGCCUGAUAUUGAGGCUUUGUGCAUGAUGUACAGGAUAGGCGGGAGACGUCGAGCCCGGAGCGCCAGCUUCGGAGGAGUCACCCUUGGGAUACCGCCCUUCAUGCAUAGAGUCUCUAACUCGCAGCCGUGAUCCGGCUGGAGGACCGUGUCAGGCGGGUAGUUUGACUGGGGCGGUCGCCUCCUAAACAGUAACGGAGGCGCCCAAAGGUUCCCUCAGAAUGGUUGGAAAUCAUUCGUAGAGCGCAAAGGCAGAAGGGAGCUUGACUGCGAGACCUACAAGUCGAGCAGGGACGAAAGUCGGGCUUAGUGAUCCGGUGGUUCCGCAUGGAAGGGCCAUCGCUCAACGGAUAAAAGCUACCCUGGGGAUAACAGGCUGAUCUCCCCCAAGAGUCCACAUCGACGGGGAGGUUUGGCACCUCGAUGUCGGCUCAUCGCAUCCUGGGGCUGGAGUAGGUCCCAAGGGUUGGGCUGUUCGCCCAUUAAAGCGGUACGCGAGCUGGGUUCAGAACGUCGUGAGACAGUUCGGUCCCUAUCCGUCGUGGGCGCAGGAAAUUUGAGGAGAGCUGUCCUUAGUACGAGAGGACCGGGAUGGACGCACCGCUGGUGUACCAGUUGUUCCGCCAGGAGCAUCGCUGGGUAGCUACGUGCGGACGGGAUAAAUGCUGAAAGCAUCUAAGCAUGAAGCCCCCUCCAAGAUGAGAUUUCCCUUUGA